UGCCCAAGAGGCUCGAUGCCGAGCUGGUAA
rnacentral:sRNA from 1 species